ensembl:lncRNA
UUCUAGAAUACAGCACACAUCUCAGUGCCCUGUUGUCUGAGGCAGUAGUGAGCUUCAGGCCUCAGAUGAUGGACACCUAUCUCCUUUCUGAGGAGAGUGAGUGAGCCACGGGUCAUCAAUUCCAUCAUUUACUUCCUGUGUGUGGCUAGGCUCCUCCUUCUGUCAUCCUUCUUCCAAAAGGGAGCCAUUUGCUACCAGUCUUCAGAAUAAAGGAGACAUCAACCAGGGAAUCUAAAAACUUAUAUCCCAUGCCUUUUCUGGGAAAGUUACUACAGAUGUGCUUCAGAAAAAUGAUGAAGAAAAUGAAGAGAAGAGCCUCGAGGACUGUGAGGAAACAAAUUUCUGGUGUUUAAGCGGCCCAGUCUGUGACACUUUGUUACGGCGGCCCGAGCAGACUAACACAACUGGGAAAGAGGUCACAGGUACAAGGGUAGAGGAGAUUGGAGGAGUGAGAACACAGCAGGGGACAAGACCAGAGUAAGAGACUGAUGACGGGGCUAAUGCAAAAUGAAGUGACCAGGUUUAAGGACCUGAAGGAAAGCAGCAACGAUGGUGACGGAGAGAAAGAGACGGAUGUGAGAGACACUGUCAACAAAUCAAAUGGGAUGUGUAAGAGGGUGGAUGUAUUGAAUGAGCAUGAUGGUUGGGACACAGAGGAGUCCCGUUACAUCAAGAGAUGGAUAACAGUCAGUGCACAAGUAGAGCUUGGACUUCCCCAAGAGGCUGGAGAGCAGAGCAGUCCCAGAAAUAACUUGGUACCCUGCUCGGCACCACCAGAGGUGAGGACACUGGGGAACACACAGUGUGAGCUACUUGCCGAGAUGCUGCUGCUGGUGACUAGCAGAGCGAGAUUCAACAUGCUGUCUGGCUCCAGAGCCACACUCCUGAACCACUAAACUGUGCUGCCAAAAAUGUCACGGCGCCUGGAGAACGCGUCUCAGUCAAGUAAAACUAGAUUCUGGAAGAAUAACCACUCACCUCCACAGGGCCCUUUGCCUGUGGCUUCCAUGUGCCCUUUGUUUACAUCUUCUCACUUGCUGCUCAGAACGUGGUGAGGCCGUGAGGCUCAGAGCGGGAAGGGGCUGGCGUGAGGACCACAGCUGGAAGGGCAGAGGCAGGUCUGAGUCCAGACCAAAUCAAGGACCAUUCUUGUCCUCUAAUUUUGCAUGGGGAAACUGAGGCAGGAGGGGUUAAACGAAUUCCAUUGCCCCUCCUUCCAGUGGGUUUCGUUCACGGCUGGGUCUAAUUUGUCCUCAGUCAGGGCCUGUGUCUGGACUGAAUGAUCAGAGGCCACUCAACUCUUUAGACUCUUUGGUGAAGUGUGGGACCUUGGUUGCCCUUGUGCUGGUGACAGGAGGUUACCAGGGACCCAGGAACCCAGGCAGGUGCAGGAGGAGGAAGAAAGGACAACAGGGAGAUGUGUGCAGCACAGGGUGAGCAAGGCAGAGGCCUCUGUGCAUUUGCCGCCCGGUAGGGGAUGACCUGUCAGCCCCUGACCUUCAGGGACAGCCCACAACGGCCUUGGCAUCAAGGUGUCAGUUGGACUGCGCCCCAUUCUGGUAUUCAGGGUCCUCUUCCAAGCUCAAGUGGUGGCUGGUGGCAGAAUUCAGUUCCUUGGGAGACCAGAAUUGAGGGCCCUAUUUUCUUGCUGGCUAUUAGCCAGAGACUAGAGGUCACCUUCAGAUCCUUACCACAGGCCUCUCCAUAGGCCCUCUCACAAUAUAUCAAUUUUCAUUUCAAGACCAGUAGAAGAAAUUUAUUUCAGUUUUUGAACUUGUUCCUUCAGGGAGGGCCCAGCCCCUUUUAAGGACUCAAGUGAUUCUGUCAGGCCCACCCAAAUAAUCUUUUGAUCAAAUUAGUGACCUUAACUACAUCUGGCAAAUCCUUUCUCCUUAUAACAUAAUCAUGGAAGUGAUAUCCCAUCAUAUUCAUGAGUCCCUCUCACACUCACAGGGAGGGAAUUAUAUAGAACAUGUACCCCAGGGAGUCAGGAAUCUGGGUAACAUGUUAGAAUUCUGCUUAUCACAUCAGAUGAUGCUAUCGAUUCUGGUCCAGGGACCUCAUUUGAGAACCACUACUUUAACAGAGCUACUAAAUAAAUAUGAACAUUUAUGUGACUGUGAAAUCAGUGAGUACAGAAAAGCAAUGAUUAUAUAUAUCUGGAUGAAGAUUUCUAAUCAAAGUGGCAGAAUUCCAGUGGAAAUGCACUCACUACACUGAAUACCUAUUGAUACUAGAUACAAUUCUUUUAAUUAUGAAGUUAUAUUUAAAUUCAAAAAAAGAUAAAGAGGACAAGAAAUUGAACAUAAAUAUGCAGUGGUGAGUAGGGGCUAAAAUCUUUGGCUACUGGACUCUGGGGUUAUAGGCAUAGGGAAUUGAGUUUAGCUUCUCUGGGGAACCAUCUAAUUUGAGCCCUUAGCAUUUGAAACUGUUGACCAUGCCCUCUCAGUUCCAUUACACAUUUCCGUAAAUGUAAGUGGCACCAGUGCUUUCUGGUUUCCCUCCAGCCACUCUACACACUCUUCUCAAUCUCCUUUACAUGCCCUUCUUCCUCUACUGUCAGGUUGUUGCUCAGGGCUCUAUUUUGCAUCUUCUUCUCUUCUCAAGUGACAUGCUCUCCUGGAGUACUCCAACAAAACCCAUGGCUUCAAAGACCAUCCCCGCAUUGAGACUUCUUAGUCUUUAUCCCCAACCCACGUCUCUUUUCCUGAAGAGCAGACCCAUAUAUCCAACAUUUCUAAAACAGCAUUAUCUCCCAGCCAUUCAAACUUAUGUUCAAAUUUGAACUUAUCCCCUUUCUGCCCACCCCCAUCCCACUCCAAAAAUGCUUCUCCUCCCAUAUUUCUCUCUUAGUAAACGGCACUAUCAUCCACCAAGAUGUUUCAAGCAAAUCUGGAAUUCUUCUUUGACCCAUACCUCCCCCUCACCCCCCACAUCUAGUCAAUCAUCACCAACUGUCAAUUCCACCCCCCAAAUAACCCCUCCGUCCAUCCACUUCUCUCAAUUUCCAUAGCCACUAUCAUAGUUCAGUCCAUCAUCUUCUCUUGUCUACAUCAUGGAAAUGGUUUCCUAACUAAUGUCUCUGCUUCUAUUGUUAUUUUCUUCCAACCCAUGCUCCACUUCUUAGCCAGAGGGAUUCUACUAAAAUUCCAAUCGCAUCAUAUCACUCCUCUAGUAACAGCCUCACUGGCUUCCCAUUGGUCCUUAUGGUAAAAUUCCAUACUAUGCCUUCAAAAUUCUCUGCUACCUGGCCCCACCCUAGCUCUCCAGUUCCAGUCUUGCCAAUCCUCACCCCACCCUCUAUAAUGCAGCCAUACUGUACUGUAGUUCAUUCUUCCCAUACCCUACUCUCUUCCCUUGUUUAACUCCUACUCAACCGUCAGGUCUUGGUUUACAUAUCCUAUCUUCCAGACAACUUUCCUGACCUCCUAGACAAGGCUGGGACAUGACCAAAUAUAUCAUAGUAUCCUCAACUUCCCCAUAAUAAUAUUUAUCCUACAUCAUUGUGGGUGCUGAAAGCUCCUUGAACAAAAACACAGUGAUGACCAUCAUCUGGUCCUCCUCUGUGUCCUCAGUGCAGCCACUGAAGCAGUGGGUAAACUAUGUCCUUCCAGAAGUGAUAAGUGGCUAAGUGCCUAGAGGCAGUUCCUUGCUAGAUCUACCAUGAAGGGUGGCACAAGUACUGAAUUCCCUCAGGAACAGAGACAUAGUCACUAGGACUCCAGCAAACAGAGAGGUUUUUCCCUGAAUGAAAUAUGAUUUUAAUUUGUACAAUAUACACAUUUAUAAUAAUAAUAGCUGCAUGAGACAUGCAAUAAUAAGUCCCUAAUGCUAACCUGGGGCAAAAUAUCUAAUAUGAAUUAAAUUGGCUCUGUUCCUAGGAAUUUUAGCAUAUUGCAUUGUGGAGUUUUAGCUAAAAUUGUGCAGAGCAUAGCUGAUUAAUAUUCUAAUUAAAAUCAGAAUAGGACAAUAGGAAAUUGUUGGUUUUCCCCAGUAGUGAAUAAAUAAAUACCUUCCCAAUAAAAGUAGGCUUCCAAUAGACAUUUGGCUGCCCUAGGCUCCAUCUUCUGAGAGAAUCACAUAGCAGGCCUACCUAGAAGGUUGUGUGGCCUUGAAAUGCUAAUGUCUCCAAAAUCUACCCCAUGAAUACCCUCUUGUCUAUGGUGGCAUUUUGGGCCUUUGGAGGAAUCCUAGAUAAGUGCAAUCAUUUUCUUCUCUGUUUUACCUUAACAUAGAGAAACGGUCUCAUUCACAAUUUUGCAGGAGCAGCUCGCUAUACAAUAUGAAUCUGCCUUUGGCCUUAGAUGGUGGAAACAAAUGUGGACAUUUGUACCAAACUAGGUCAGUCCAAAGUAUAUGAACAUAGGGAGCUGAGCUGGAAGGCCAAGUGGGCUUGGGGUCUGAAGGAACUCCUUGGGGGCAGCCAUGAUGGCUCACCAUGAGCCCCAGUGAAUGAGCAGAAAUGGAAGUCUGCACGGGCUACAAGUCUGUGGGGCUACAAAUGCAGCAGUCCCCCUAGCAGAGAUAGGAAACCAUGAGCGCUCAAAUGGCAGAGCAAAAUCAGAGUGCAUGAAAUUUCCCAGAGUGCUUAAAACAAACCCUCCUUUUCUUAAGCUAGCUUGAGCACUUUUCUGCUCUUUGCUAGACAGCAACUCCUGAGAUAAAGGGAAGUAGUGACAUAGGUCGCACGAUUUCCUGCCCAGGUUCUUAACUUCCUUCCUGGUUAAGAACUGUCCCAGUGCCUUGGAUGAGGACCGAGAUGAUGUUGUGAGGAAAACUAUGGGGAAUAUGAAGCUGGGCACAGCAGCAGCAAUAGUAAGGUGAAAGAACCAGCACCCAGAAGAACCCCAAUAACUGGAAAUAUGGUAAAUCUAACAAGAAAAAGGUCAAUACGGGUGAAGGUAAAGACCUCCAUUUGGACUAGGAAAAAAAUUAACCAGACAGCUCAGGAUGAAUAGUGGAAGUAAGAACUGAUGCAACAGUGAUGCAUGUUGAAAUGACUGAGGGGGUUAGUUGAAAACAUGUCUGAUACAUCCAUGCUCAUGAACUCAGCAACUACUCUACGUGCUUACCACAUGCCAGGCUUUCUGCUAGGAGCUAUACAACCAUGCAUCAGAAUUUUUACUAUGGCCUUUCUAAUAUCUAAUAAACAUAGAAGGCCUCAUUUUCAACAAAGUGGCUAAGAGAAAAGAGGGGGUUAUAAAGAGUUCCAAACUCACCAGAUUCAGCCCUUGCCCCCUUUAAAUUUGUCCGAUCCAUGUCCCUUUCACAGUUAUAAUGAGCAUCAGCUCCUGCUUCUUCUGGGGCUUCCCUUUUAUCCUUUCAAUAGAUGUCUUAGUUUGGAUUCUCCUAAAAGCAGAUCCUCAGACAAAGAUUUGAGUGCAAGUAGCUGAUUUGGGAGGUAAUCCGGGAAACAGAGUGAGGGAGUGAGAUAGGGAAGGAAGGCAGCCAACAAUGUUACCAAACCAGUUACUGCUGGAAUAGGCGGAGCUCAGGCUUGGCGGGACCUCAGGAAGCCAGCAUAGGAUAUAACGCCAGAGUUAUUCUUACAAAGGAGUGGGAAUCUGGGGUGUUUAUACACCGACUCUUAUCAAGGAUUGGUUGAGGGCUGCUUCCAGGACGUGGGGUUUCUGGCUUGCCUUGCAUGUAGGCUGUGUGCUCCCAGGGCCGGAUAAAUAGCCCUCAGGCAGAGAUUCACAAACGUCACAGUAGCAGCCUUUGUCUUAGAGAGGCAAAUUCUGAGGGGAUGGGCUGGGACACUAAUAACUACAAAACUCAAGGGGCCAGCCCAGUGGCUCAGUGGUUAAGUGCUCAUGAUCCACUUUGGCGGCCUGGGGUCCGCCAGUUUGGAUCCUGGGUGCGCACCUACACACUGCUUGUCAAGCCAUGCUGUGGUAGGCAUCCCACAUAUAAAGUAGAGGAAGAUGGGCAUAAGUGUUAGCGCAGGGUCAGUCUUCCUCAGCAAAAAGAGGAGGGUUGGUGGGAGAUGUUAGCUCAGGGCUAAUCUUCCUCAAAAAAAAGAGGAUAACUACAAAACUCAAGUUUUCUUCAGGAUUCAUUAUCCUUCUCCACAGUUGUGUUCUUUGGCUUGGUAUAAGGAUGGAAAGAUGGGCUGAUUCUUUUACAGCAAGCAGAAGAUGGCAGAAUCAGGAGUCUGUGCGAAAGGAAGAGGACAGACAGUAUGUUGUACAAAGUUCUUGUCGCCGUGUUGCAGGAGAAACAUGUCUGGCUGAAUCCUAAGGUGCAUCUAUUGACUAGACGUGUACAAGUGUCCCAGGGUCUGAGCACCUAAAAACUCCCAUCACAGCAGCAAAUCCUAAGCAGACUGUUCACCUUCUAAUGUGGCCCAAUGAGUCAACAUGGCCCCAAGACACUGAAUAAAUUGGCUAAAAGUGGAUAUUCUUCCUUUCUUCGUAAAAUACUUGACUUUGUUCUCUUUUACACUUGAAAUUGAAAAUACACUUGGAUUUUUAAAAAACAGGUUGAUGAUUACCUGGGCUGGUGGAAAACAAUGUGAGACUAGCAGAAAACACAUGUAAAUAUUCCAUUAAAAUCUUCCUAGUAUGUAGAUUUUUAAAAAUCAUUUGGGGACAAUAAAGACAAAGUAGCAAUCUAUUUUUUGGAAUAAUUGUCUUCAUGCCAAAAGAAAUGCUCCAUCUAAAUUUUUUUAAUAUGGAAGGAAAAAUUCUUAGAAAAAGACUUUUCCCUGAAAAUAUUGCUUUUUCUCUUUCCCUUCGUUCCUAUCCCUGACCCCAGCCCAACUGGCAGCUUCCCUUCACUAUUAAUCAGCUCGUAAACAGAGGGCUCUUUCAUGACAGCUUUCCAGAGUGAUAAGCAAUGUGACAACCUUCAAUCUCAUCCUACCCAAAUUUGAAAUACCAAUCCUUGCAUUACAUACUCCUUUUUCUGUAGUCCAACACUCCAUAAACGUGACUAACGCAUUUCUUCAGUUGUCUAUAUCCUUUCCGAGUCUACAUUGCUGUCCUAGACUUAAUAGGCCCUAAGGAAAGACUGUCUUAACUAUUUUAUCCAUUUAGAAUGGUGGCACACACCACCAGCAUGGCUGCCAUGUUGCCUAACUCCAGAGGGCACCAUUCACAUACAACACUGUGAAAAUGGAACCCUGGAGUUGUACACUUAGCAGCGCUGAUCAGUAUCAACUCAAGAUUACUGCUCAUUGGUGACCUUGAUAAUGAAGUCACCUUUCAAUAGCAAUUAUGACAAACCCACUCACAAUAAGGAAAUAUGGUUUUUCAGGUGAAGCAAGGCCUAGAGAGAAACUUAGAACUAGAUGGAAAUUUAGAGACCAGUGAGUGUGGCCCCUUCAUUUGACCCCAAGCUAUCCAAGCUCAAAAUGGUUAAUACAGCUUGGGAUUGUUGAGUUUGUUCCAGAAUAUCCUAGAAUAUGUCUUCUGCCUCAACAUCCUUCAUCCCUACAUCACUCCCACCACGUACCACAUACCUUACCAUUACUCAUAGAGAAACCCGGAUCAAGGGUACCAAACUCAAAUGGCAAAGGGACCAGGCAGAGGAUACAAAUAAUGUGGGCCAAAUGGGACUGUGGUAACCUAGGGAGGGUUUCAUUACCUGAGAGAAUAGCCACCGCUGUGCCAAUUGUACCAUAUAAGUGUGCAGGUCCAAUGUGGCUAGAUGCUCUUCAAGAGAAGCCCAAAGCUUAGAUUUUUCUGUGAAAUUUUCUGGCUUUUAAAUGUAGUAAAUUAACUUGUUUUUAAAUACUGUAUGCCAAGGAAAGCCAGAUCUGGCCCAUAGUCUAUAGUAUCUGACUUGGAUGAUAAACCCCGAGAAGGAAUUAACAUCUCCUCGUCGCUCACAGCUGGGUGGUCUGUUAUGAGUCACCGUCUCUGAGUCUUGGUUUCUUCAUCUAUGAAAUGAGAAAAUGACCCCUUCUUUGAAGGAUUUUGUAAGAACUAAGCUUAUGUAGAUAAAGCACAUAGCACAGUGGCUGGCACAGUCCAUUCUUAAUAAGAGACGGCUGCUCACUUCCCUUUGUGGCUGAGACAUAUGCAUGUGGGUGUUGGUAGCAGAAUUCUCCACAGCCUUUCACCUAUUCCUUUUCUGUCUAUUAGGGAAAGAUGCCCACUGCUCAAAGGCAGUGGGGUGGGGCGGUUUUGAAUCCAUCAUCCUUACCUAAAUCAGGGGUUUACAAAUCAGAAAAUUUGGUUUUGCAUGCUUUCUGGUCUAAGGACGGUAAGAAUAAAUAAACAAGCAAACAAUAAAAAUAAAAAAGAAUAUAUCCUACAAGUAGCAUUUAAAUAUAAACCAUAAUAGCUAUGAACAUGAAGGCGGGGUGCUCACUUCAGGCCACGUUUGCAGAAGGUCACACCAUAACAUGUGUGCUCAGAUCCAAUUUACCGAGUCCCACUGGGUGGCCAAGCAUGAAGUCAGUUGGCAGCUGAGAACACGCUCAUGUCUUGUCUCAAAAGGUGAGUGGGUCUCUGCCUUCAAAAGGACUGAGUUGGGCUGCACUUAACUGUUGACAAUGUAAUAGCAGGGAGUGGGGCUAGGACUUCGGGUCAGGGCAGAGGCCACGGGCACUGGGGAAGCCCUUGGAGAGCCAGGCUCUCUCACUGACUCCUUUCCUGUCUCCCUCCUCCCUGUGAUGAUGUGGGAUGUCUGACAGCAGUAGAAUGUUUGAGCUCAGAUUCCUGCCUGUGUUAUUGGUUGGACUUCUUGUGUUUCAUUCUCAUUUCUAUUUGAUGACAAUUUUCAUAGCCGAAUCAUAACAGGCAGAAAAUGUUCAGAGCUGCAUUUUCUAAAGUCAAUAAGGAUUCUGAAGCAAAGUUGUUACAGAGUCAAACAACUUAUGACAUCUCAACCCCUGCCAGGCAAAAACGUUCUCUAAUUUAAAUUAAAUAAAUGACACAGAAUCAGUGACCCCUAUAUGCCCACCAGCUCUUAGCACUAGGCCUUCAAAGUAAGCUCUCAAUGCAUACUGGUUAUUGAAUAAAACCAACUCUUGGCGAGAAGAAAUAACGACCCAUGAAGUAAAGCCAACAAUAGAAUGAAAACUGAUACUCUCCAAAAGCACGAAUUUACUCCUGUAUUCUACUUCUUACUCACC